ACGCUGGCGGCAGGCCUAACACAUGCAAGUCGAGCGGUAGAGAGAAGCUUGCUUCUCUUGAGAGCGGCGGACGGGUGAGUAUGCCUAGGAAUCUGCCUGGUAGUGGGGGAUAACGUCCGGAAACGGACGCUAAUACCGCAUACGUCCUACGGGAGAAAGCAGGGGACCUUCGGGCCUUGCGCUAUCAGAUGAGCCUAGGUCGGAUUAGCUAGUUGGUGGGGUAAUGGCUCACCAAGGCGACGAUCCGUAACUGGCCUGAGAGGAUGAUCAGUCACACUGGAACUGAGACACGGUCCAGACUCCUACGGGAGGCAGCAGUGGGGAAUAUUGGACAAUGGGCGAAAGCCUGAUCCAGCCAUGCCGCGUGUGUGAAGAAGGUCUUCGGAUUGUAAAGCACUUUAAGUUGGGAGGAAGGGCAGUUACCUAAUACGUGAUUGUUUUGACGUUACCGACAGAAUAAGCACCGGCUAACUCUGUGCCAGCAGCCGCGGUAAUACAGAGGGUGCAAGCGUUAAUCGGAAUUACUGGGCGUAAAGCGCGCGUAGGUGGUUCGUUAAGUUGGAUGUGAAAUCCCCGGGCUCAACCUGGGAACUGCAUUCAAAACUGACGAGCUAGAGUACGGUAGAGGGUGGUGGAAUUUCCUGUGUAGCGGUGAAAUGCGUAGAUAUAGGAAGGAACGCCAGUGGCGAAGGCGACCACCUGGACUGAUACUGACACUGAGGUGCGAAGCGUGGGGAGCAAAC
rnacentral:rRNA from 1 species